UUAUCGGAGAGUUUGAUCCUGGCUCAGGACGAACGCUGGCGGCGUGCCUAAUACAUGCAAGUCGAGCGGACAG
rnacentral:rRNA from 3 species